rnacentral:rRNA from 1 species
UACAGAGGGGCUAGCGUUGUUCGGAAUUACUGGGCGUAAAGGGCGCGUAGGUGGCCUGUUAAGUCGAACGUGAAAUCCCCGGGCUCAACCCGGGAACUGCGUCCGAGACUGGCAGGCUCGAAUCCGGGAGAGGGAUGUGGAAUUCCAGGUGUAGCGGUGAAAUGCGUAGAUAUCUGGAGGAACACCGGUGGCGAAGGCGGCAUCCUGGACCGGUAUUGACGCUGAGGCGCGAAAGCCAGGGAGCAAAGCGGG